CCGAACGGUCCGAACCGAACCGAACCGACAUUUUGACAUUUCGGUUUUCGUUCGGUUACGGAGAGGAAACCGUUCGGUGGAGAUUUGAAAAUACAUCGGUUAUCGCCUCGGUUCGGUUCGGUUAGGGUUAACCGAUCGGAAACCCGACAAUUAUUUAACCCAAGUAUAAAUAUACUUCUUAACCUUAAUUGUCGGCUAACCUAAUUCUAAGCAGUUUCGAAAACAAUAUCCCCUCUCUAAUCUUUUCUCUCUAAUCGAUCGUUUGGAGCUUCUUUGAGGUUAGUUCUUCUUUUUCUUUCUGUUUAAUUAUUUAUGAUUGGGUUGAGAUGAAUAUGGAGUACGGUUUCUUCGAAAACGAUUUGGGAUUAGGGUUUGUCUUUCGAUUUUGGGAUUUAGGGUUAAGGCUAAAAUCGAUUUAUGAAAUCGGAUUUCUCACUUAACUUGAUUCGAUUUCACUUUCUAUCCAUCUAUUAUGCUCGAUUUUGUAUAUUAGGGUUUGUGUUUCAAAUCAAUUUUCGAUUUAAGGUUGCAAAUGAUGAAGGUAGUAGCGAGCUGGAUAUUUACCUGAUGGAAAGACCAGUGCCACGAACCACAGACAGGAUGGGAAGGGAAUUUGAUGUGUUGUCAUGGUGGAAGCGUAAUUCUCUUAAGUAUCCAGUGCUAUCAGAACUGGUGAAGGAUGUUCUAGCUGUUCAGAUCUCUUCUGUUGCUUCAGAAUCGGCAUUUAGUACUAGUGGUAGGAUUUUAGAUCCUUAUCGGAGUUGUCUUACGCCAUAUAUGAUCGAGGCACUCGUAUGCACACAGCAGUGGCUUCGAAAUAAUAUUCAUGCCGAGAAGGUUGCAAAUUUGGUUCAGAUGUUUGAGGAAUUGGACUUUCAUGAGUCUUUAGAGACUUUGGAAUUACCAAGACAACCUGAAAAUUAGAGGUUUGAGAUCGAGAGUGAAGGUGUUGAUGGCCUGUUCUUUUUUGGCUCUCUCUCUGUGUUUUUAGUCUUAAGUUAAGGUUCCCUUUCUCUAUUUUUUGGUGAAACUAUGAUUUGUAUCCAUGGCUCUUUGCCUCUUUGAAUGUGUUUGUGGCAAAGAGACUUAGAUUCAAAGUGUUUGGUGAACUCUUUUUGAUGAUUGGGAAAGGAAUGUAUGUGGUUUGAACUUUGAAGUUGAAAAAUUUGUCUUU